GUUCGUUAUUAAGGGCGCAUGGUGGAUGCCUUGGCAUGCUGAGCCGAUGAAGGACGUGAAAGGCUGCGUUAAGCCUCGGGGAGUUGUCAAUUAAGCGUUGAUCCGAGGAUGUCCGAAUGGGGAAACCUGGCCCUGGUUAUGUGGGGUUACCCUUCAGUGAAUUCAUAGCUGUUGUGGGGGUUUACGCGGGGAAGUGAAACAUCUCAGUACCCGUAGGAGGAGAAAAUAAUAAUGAUUCUGCUAGUAGUGGCGAACGAACGUGGAUGAGGCUAAACCGUGUGCAUGUGAUACCUGGUAGGGGUUGUGUGUGCGGUGUUGUGGGCCCCAACGUGCGGUGACUGCCAUCAUCGUGCUUGUGUGUUGUUGUUAGGUGAAGUGGUUUGGAAUUACCUGCCGGAGAAGGUGAGAGUCCUGUAGUUGAAGACAAUGGCAUGCAGGUUGUUGGGUUGCCCGAGUAGCAGCGGGCUCGUGGAAUCUGUUGUGAAUCUGCCGGGACCACCCGGUAAGCCUAAAUACUCAGUGUGACCGAUAGUGUAUUAGUACCGUGAGGGAAUGGUGAAAAGUACCCCGGGAGGGGAGUGAAAUAGUUCCUGAAACCAUGUGCUUACAAUCCGUCAGAGCACCUUUUGUGUGUGAUGGCGUGCCUUUUGAAGAAUGAGCCUGCGAGUCAGCGGCAUGUCGCGAGGUUAACCCGUGUGGGGUAGCCGUAGGGAAACCGAAUCCUAAUGGGGUGUCAAGUGGCAUGUCCUGGACCCGAAGCGGGGUGAUCUACCCAUGGCCAGUGUGAAGCAGCUGUAAGAGGUUGUGGAGGCGCGAACCCACGUAGGUUGAAAACUGCGGGGAUGAGCUGUGGGUAGGGGUGAAAGGCCAAUCAAACUCCGUGAUAGCUGGUUCUCCCCGAAAUGCAUUUAGGUGCAGCGUCGUAUUAUAGCUUGGUGGAGGUAGAGCGACUGGUUGGUUGAGCGGGACUACAAUCUUAGCAAUGUCAGCCAAACUCCGAAUGCCACUAAUUGUGUUGUACGGCAGUGAGACUGUGGGGGAUAAGCUUCAUAGUCGAGAGGGAAACAGCCCAGAUCGCCGGUUAAGGCCCCUAAGGGUGUACUAAGUGGAAAAGGAUGUGGGAUCGCGAAGACAGCCAGGAGGUUGGCUUAGAAGCAGCCAUCCUUGAAAGAGUGCGUAAUAGCUCACUGGUCGAGUGGUUCUGCGCCGACAAUUCAGUGGGGCUCAAGUACACCGCCGAAGCCGCGGCAAACAUUGUGUUUGGGUAGGGGAGCGUCGUGCAUGGGUGGAAGCGUUACCGUAAGGAGGCGUGGACUGUGUGCGAGUGAGAAUGCAGGCAUGAGUAACGAAUUGAUAGGUGAGAAUCCUAUCCGCCGGAUGACUAAGGGUUCCUGGGUCAAGUUCGUCUUCCCAGGGUGAGUCGGGACCUAAGGCGAGGCCGACAGGCGUAGUCGAUGGAUAACCAGUUGAUAUUCUGGUACCCGUACAUGCGCGCCCAUGAUGAAGCACUGAUACUAACCACCGCGGAUGCACUACCGGUCUUCUUUGAAGAUUGGUGGUGUUGAUGUCGUGGGGCCUGAUGUGUGGUUCAAGUGAUGGGGUGACGCAGUGAGGUAGCCACGCCACUUAUUGGAUUGGUGGUGUAAGCGUGUAGGCCGUGUGGUAGGUAAAUCCGCCGCACAUUGUGGUUGAGACGUGAUGCGUAGACCCUAAGCGGGUUGAUGGUGGUGAUCCUGUACUGUCGAGAAAAGCCUCUAGCGAUGUGUGUGUAUGGCCCGUACCCUAAACCGACACAGGUAGUCAGGUUGAAAAUACUAAGGCGUUCGGGUGAACUGUGGUUAAGGAAUUCGGCAAAAUGCCCCCGUAACUUCGGGAGAAGGGGGGCCUCACGGCGUGAAGGUCCAUGCGGCUGGAAGCGUUGUGGGGUCGCAGAGAAUAGAGGGAAGCGACUGUUUAUCAAAAACACAGGUCCAUGCGAAGACGUGAAGUUGAUGUAUAUGGACUGACGCCUGCCCGGUGCUGGAAGGUUAAGAGGACCGGUUAGUAGUCUUUGACUGCGAAGCUGAGAAUUUAAGCCCCAGUAAACGGCGGUGGUAACUAUAACCAUCCUAAGGUAGCGAAAUUCCUUGUCGGGUAAGUUCCGACCUGCACGAAUGGCGUA
rnacentral:rRNA from 1 species